CUCAUGAAACUCCAAGUGUAGUUCAUAGGCUUUAUUCACUUUGUGAUGUUAAAACUACUGUAAUAGUUGAGUUAUUGCCUUUUAAGGCUUUUAGAUCAUGAACAAUAGUAUAUGUAAAGCCUGUUUCUUCUUAUUUUCGGAAUGUCUUAAGUAUAAAUGAAAUGGUAUAUGAUAUGAGGUGGAGGUAGUUCCAGUUAUAAUCUCCAAAUACGACUCGUGACCUUUAUUCACUACUUGAUGUUAGAAUUCUUAAAGUAGUUACACUACUACCCUCGAGUCUCUUAUCUGAUGAAUAAUAAUUGAAUGCAUCAGCUCCUAUUCCUAAGGUCUCUGCGAUGACAAACGUCUUUAAUUCUGUAAGCUGAUUAACCUUGUCUCAAUACAUGUCUACGAUUCCUGAAACUCUAGUUGAUAUAAUCCUUAACAAUAUUUAAAAGGUACUUAAGACGAUUACUACUUUGGUCUUCAGGUGAUGGUUCACUUGACUGUUUCAUUAAGUCUCAAACGAUGACUUAGUUGCAUAUGGUUUCUCACUACUCUACUCGUGCACACUGUAACACAUCUUCCUUCGAGUUCCAUAAGGGGGUCGGAAAUGCGGUCAUGCCUAGUUUUACUAUUCGUUCAUCGAGUCUCGGGCUGGCUAUAUAUAUAUGUAUGAAGUAUACGAGGAUAAAAUGACGUAUACGAUGAAGUGAAGCAUAUGAUGACGCCGUAUGUGAUAAUGCUCGUCACCGCAUCUCGGGCUGGACAUAUAGGUGAUAAUAUAAUGGGAAAUUAUGGAUCGGGCCGUACGUUCCUCGAUAUUAUUUUAAAAUAUGGAUUGGGCUGUACGUUCCUCGGCAUUAUUUUAAAAUAUAGAUCGGGUCGUACGUUCCUCGGCAUUAUUUUAAAUUAUAGAUCGGGCCAAACGUUCCUCGGUAUAUUUUACUAUGUGAUAAUGGCACUGAGUCCCAUAGUGGGUCAGGUGUGGUACGACAUGUACACUACUCUUUCACCGAGACCCUCACUAAAGGGCCAGAUAUGAUAGAUAGGCAUACAUAUGAAAACAUAGUGAUGUACUUGUAAUGUCUGAAAUGAUGUCGUAUACGAUGGUAUGAUGCCGUAUACGAUGAUAUGGUAACACCGAGUCUCACAGCGGGCCGGGAGUGAUAUGUGAGGAUAAUAUACAUGCCCUAUUUUCAUAAGAUGCAGGUAUAGUGAACUAUUAUUUGUCAUACUUGUUUCCUGCACUCCUAUUUCAGUUGUUAUCUCAGUUGUGUUAUGUUAUGCUUUAUAUACUUAGUACAUAUAUCGUACUAACCCUUCGUUCUUUGAGGGGUUGUGUUUUAUGCCCGCAGGUACAAAUGUUUAUUUUGGAGAUCCGCCAGCUUAGGAUUUCCACUCAGCGAUGUUGGAAGCGCUCCACUGUUUCGGAGCCUAAUUUUUGAUACUAGCCAUUUGAUAUAUAUGUUUGUUUAUUCAGGAGUACAGCGGGGGCCCUAUCCCGCCAUAUGAUACAGUUAACACUCUUAGAGGUUGAAGUUCCAUCAAGCUUUUGGGUGGUGAUGAAGUUGUUUUCCGCUCAUCGUCUUCAGUCUUGAUGCCAAGAUAGAGGGCAUAUUCAGUCGGCCGCGAAGAGACCUUGCUUAGAGGAGUGAUAGUAUUUGAGUUCAAGGUUGGGCUGUAGUAAUGAUUCUCCCAUCAGAGGGUUAGUGUGGCUUCCAUUCAUGGUGGGUUCGGAGUCGUGACAAUUAAGUAGGCAAAUAUUCAAUGGAAGCAUCAUCCGAUUGAGGAAGCUACUUGGAAAAUUGAGAAGGACAUGCAAGACAAGUAUUCCAGUUGUUUAACG